UAAUACGUAGGGGGCGAGCGUUGUCCGGAAUCACUGGGUGUAAAGGGUGCUCAGGCGGGUCAGUAAGUCAGGGGUGAAAUUUCACAGCUUAACUGUGAAUGUGCUUUUGAUACUGCUGGUCUAGAGUUCAGGAGAGGGCAAUGGAAUUCUUGGUGUAGCGGUGAAAUGCGUAGAUAUCAAGAAGAACACCGGUUGCGAAGGCGGUUGCCUGGCCUGUAACUGACGCUCAAGCACGAAAGCGUGGGGAUCAAACAGG
rnacentral:rRNA from 1 species